rnacentral:rRNA from 1 species
AUACGGAGGGUCCGAGCGUUAAUCGGAAUUACUGGGCGUAAAGCGCGCGUAGGCGGCUAUAUAAGUCAGAUGUGAAAUCCCUGGGCUCAACCUAGGAACUGCAUUUGAAACUGUAUGGCCAGAGUAUGGUAGAGGUGAGUGGAAUUUCAGGUGUAGCGGUGAAAUGCGUAGAGAUCUGAAGGAACAUCAGUGGCGAAGGCGACUCACUGGGCCAUUACUGACGCUGAGGUGCGAAAGCGUGGGUAGCAAACAGGAUUAGAUACCCUAGUAGUCC